rnacentral:rRNA from 1 species
GUCGAGCGAGCUUGCCUAGAUGAUUUUAGUGCUUGCACUAAAUGAAACUAGAUACAAGCGAGCGGCGGACGGGUGAGUAACACGUGGGUAACCUGCCCAAGAGACUGGGAUAACACCUGGAAACAGAUGCUAAUACCGGAUAACAACACUAGACGCAUGUCUAGAGUUUGAAAGAUGGUUCUGCUAUCACUCUUGGAUGGACCUGCGGUGCAUUAGCUAGUUGGUAAGGUAACGGCUUACCAAGGCAAUGAUGCAUAGCCGAGUUGAGAGACUGAUCGGCCACAUUGGGACUGAGACACGGCCCAAACUCCUACGGGAGGCAGCAGUAGGGAAUCUUCCACAAUGGACGAAAGUCUGAUGGAGCAACGCCGCGUGAGUGAAGAAGGGUUUCGGCUCGUAAAGCUCUGUUGGUAGUGAAGAAAGAUAGAGGUAGUAACUGGCCUUUAUUUGACGGUAAUUACUUAGAAAGUCACGGCUAACUACGUGCCAGCAGCCGCGGUAAUACGUAGGUGGCAAGCGUUGUCCGGAUUUAUUGGGCGUAAAGCGAGUGCAGGCGGUUCAAUAAGUCUGAUGUGAAAGCCUUCGGCUCAACCGGAGAAUUGCAUCAGAAACUGUUGAACUUGAGUGCAGAAGAGGAGAGUGGAACUCCAUGUGUAGCGGUGGAAUGCGUAGAUAUAUGGAAGAACACCAGUGGCGAAGGCGGCUCUCUGGUCU